rnacentral:tRNA from 1 species
GUUUAUGUAGUAAAUAAAAUAUUACGGUACUUUUUCGUAGUGCAAGAGAGUUUUCCAUAGAUA